rnacentral:lncRNA from 1 species
GUCAGUACAACAAAAAUGAUAGACUCAACUAUACAAUCCUGUAAAGCAUUAAAUAUGGUUUAUACUACAUAAUACUUUAUAGACCUUUCUUUAAUUUCUAUUUAUUAAUAUGGUAUGUUAUUUUAAAUUGAUUUACACAACAAACAAAAAAAGCAUGCAUGCGGCGUGUGGUCGAGUAGACCCGCCGGGGAAAAUAUAGUAGUGUAACAAAUUCAAAGCAGAAUUACUGAAUUAUGAAAUUUGAAUGUUCUUUUUGGAUUGUCUUUUUGUAAAUACUUUUUCGACAGCCACCAAAAUAAACUUGACAUUUAUUUUGUGCAACACUUCUAUUACUAUUCCAUUAAUUUG